UCCGUAGGUGAACCUGCGGAAGGAUCAUUACCACACCGAUCUAAAUCAUCCAACCCAGCGAACUGUGUGUCCAAUCAUUUUGGUCUUUCGAGACCCACCCGCCUCGCUUCGUCGUCGCGAGACGCGAAGCGAGCGGAACCCACACACUUUUCAACCCAACAACAACCAACAACAACUAACCUCGUAAUCGUUCGCGAGCUCUCUCCUUCGGGGAGGCGCGCGGCGAUCACACAAGCGAAAUGCGAACAACUUUCAGCGACGGAUGUCUUGGCUCCCACAACGAUGAAGGACGCAGCGAAAUGCGAUACGUAAUGCGAAUUGCAGAAUCCAGCGAAUCAUCAAAACUCUGAACGCGACUUGCACUCCCGGGAUAUGCCUGGGAGUACGCUCGUCGGAGUGUUUGUUACCACCCCUCACCGCAUCACCGCGGUGGAGUCUGAGUUUCGCGCUCGAAUUUUGUCGAGCGCGUCGCUCGAAGUGCAGACGGAACCGUGUCGCUCUGACCUCGUUCAGGCGUUCGGGUGCGGUAAAAGCUUAAUGUUUUCUCCACACACACUCGAGCGUUUGGACGAACGGGGCGGCAUCCCGCUUCGUUCUCGCAAACCGGGAACAACUUCGUAUUAAACCUCCGAUCGAGUGAGAGGACCCGCUGAAUUUAAGCAUAUCAAUAAGCGGAGGAA
rnacentral:rRNA from 1 species